rnacentral:rRNA from 1 species
UACGAAGGGGGCUAGCGUUGCUCGGAAUGACUGGGCGUAAAGGGCGCGUAGGCGGAUGGUCCAGUCAGAUGUGAAAUUCCUGGGCUCAACCUGGGGGCUGCAUUUGAUACGUGCUGUCUUGAGUUCGGAAGAGGGUCGUGGAAUUCCCAGUGUAGAGGUGAAAUUCGUAGAUAUUGGGAAGAACACCGGUGGCGAAGGCGGCGACCUGGUCCGAUACUGACGCUGAGGCGCGAAAGCGUGGGGAGCAAACAGG